rnacentral:rRNA from 1 species
GACGAACGCUGGCGGCGUGCUUAACACAUGCAAGUCGAACGGAAAGGCGCUGCUUUUGUGGGUUGGUCGAGAGGCGAGGGGGUGAGGAACACGAGAGGAACCUGACCUUGACUUUGGGAUAACUUCAGGAAACUGAGGCGAAGAUAGGAUAGGAGCUCCUGCGGCAUGGGGGGGGUUGGAAAGGGUCGGCGGUUGGGGCUGGAGUUGCGGGUUAUGAGCCUGUUGGUGGGGUAGGGGCUUACAAGGGCUUCGACGGGUAGCCGGCCUGAGCGGGUGUCCGGCCACCUUGGGCCUGCGAUACGGCCCAGCCGCCUACGGGAGGCAGCAGUGGGGAAUAGUGCGCAGCGGCGGCACGCCUGGUGCGACGGCGCCCCGUGCGUGAUGACGGCCUUCGGGUUGUAAACCGCUUUCGCCUGUGUCGAGGCGGGAUUGACGGUAAUGGGUAAAGAAGCACCGGCUAACUACGUG